UACGAAGGGUGCAAGCGUUACUCGGAAGUUACUUGGGUCGGUUAAAAGGCGUGCGUAGGUGGGUUUAGUUAGUCUGAUGAUGAAAGCCCCUGGGACGUCAACCUGGGAAUUGCAUUGGAUACUGGCAGGCGUAGAGUGCGGGUAGAGGGUAGUGGAAUUCCCGGUGUAGCAGUGAAAUGCGUAGAGAUCGGAGACACCAGUGGCGAAGGCGACUACCUGGACCAGCA
rnacentral:rRNA from 1 species